GAUGAACGCUGGCGGCGUGCUUAACACAUGCAAGUCGAGCGAGAAGUUUUGAAAAGAUUCUUCGGAUGAAAUUUAAAAUGGAAAGCGGCGGACGGGUGAGUAACGCGUAGGCAACCUGCCCCAUACAAAGGGAUAGCAUUUGGAAACGAAUAUUAAUACCUUAUGAAACUUAACUAGUGCAUGCUAGGUAGGUCAAAGAUUUAUCGGUAUGGGAUGGGCCUGCGUCUGAUUAGCUAGUUGGUGAGGUAACGGCUCACCAAGGCGACGAUCAGUAGCCGACCUGAGAGGGUGACCGGCCACAUUGGAACUGAGACACGGUCCAAACUCCUACGGGAGGCAGCAGUGGGGAAUAUUGCACAAUGGGGGAAACCCUGAUGCAGCAACGCCGCGUGAACGAUGAAGGCCUUUGGGUCGUAAAGUUCUGUUCUAGGUGAUGAAAACUGACAGUAACCUAGGAGAAAGCCCCGGCUAACUCCGUG
rnacentral:rRNA from 1 species